UGGUACCGUACAAGCUGCCACUAAUUCGUACGGUUAUACGUUAGAUAAAAUAUAUGAACUACUUGUAAGUACGAACUUAUAUGUAAAAGGUAUAUCAGCACGACUAGAGAAAAUGGAAAAUUCAAGAAAAAUUGAGAGUGUCAAUAAUCAUGAUGCACUGAAAGAUUUAAGAAAAAUGUUGCCCUUAAGCAGCACAGAUGAUAUAAAUCAAUUUGAAAUAUUUCUUGGGGAUGAUGAACAAAAGAAAAUUUUUACAAAUUUUAUAUCCUCUAUAGGAGGUAGGAAUGUGAAAGAUAAUAUUCACAGAUGUUUGAAAUCAAUAUUCUCUAAUGAAGCUGCUACCAAAUGUUCGUGGCUAGGCCAACGAGGCAAUUUUCGCGUUUGUGAUCUAUCUUCAAUAACUGUCCUAAAAGAUCAGAUCCAAGUCAACUAUAAUAUAACAUUAAAAGAGUUUGAAGUCAUUGGUAGCGAAUGGUUCCGUUUGUCAAAAUUAAGGUUAAAACCAGAUAAACGCAACCCUGAUUCUUCUAAUGUCGUCAACUAGUA